GUAGAUUUAAAAUUUGCUCUAGAAAUGCUUGCAACUCUGAAAACUCAGACUGUGGCUCAGCACGGACUUCUGCUUAACCAAAAAUACUGCAGCCACAUGAGGCCUUGACCCAGUACAGCUUCCUUUUCUAGUCCCUCUGAUCACAGCAAAACAGUCAUAAACUCUGUGGUGUCUACCUGCAAGGCUGACAGCAAUGCCAUCCAGUGAUCAGACCCAUCACAGGCUGCACACUGCUCUGGUGUUAGAGAUGGUAGAAAGGACUAAACCAAUGAUCUGUGAAAAAUACUGAAUUCCAACAGGUGAACAGCAAGUCAUCAACAAAUCUGUGGUGAAAGUUCCGAUAUUUCAAAGGACGUAUAAUCUGCUGUGCUUUUCAGAAUCCCGAAAUAGCUACAGAAGAAUUAAUAAAGGCAUUACCCCAGUGGUUUUCCUGUAACUAACCGUGAUGAUGGCUUACCCAAGUUCCCAGUAUUGUUCUGUGUCUUGGAACUGCAGGUUUUCCACAAAAGAAAAUCUGGUUGUGUCAAGAGCAACUUCAUCAAGCCAUAAUAAGUGCUGCUCACCCAGAACCUUGAAUAUUUAGUUGCGUAGUCUCUGAGAGCCGUGGUGUUUGCAGUAUGAUCGUGAAUAGACGGCUGUGCAGAUCAUUUUCAGGCAUGAGUGGUGAGUAAUAAGCCUUCAGAAGUGCUUAGAGAAGAAUUUGACUGUUUCAAAACAUUGGAGCAAAUGCUUAAAUUGGUUCAUAAAU
rnacentral:lncRNA from 1 species